rnacentral:rRNA from 1 species
GACGAACGCUGGCGGCGUGCUUAACACAUGCAAGUGGAGCGACGAACCCGGCUUCGGCCGGGGGCAAAGCCGCGAACGGGUGAGUAACACGUGGUUAACCUGCCCCGAUGAUUGGGACAACCCCGGGAAACCGGGGCUAAUACCAAAUGUGCUCACGUCCCACCAGGGACGUGAGGAAAGGAAGCUUCGGCCUCCGCAUCGGUAUGGGCCCGCGGCGCAUUAGCUUGUUGGUGAGGUAACGGCUCACCAAGGCUUCGAUGCGUAGCUGGUCUGAGAGGACGAUCAGCCACACUGGGACUGAGACACGGCCCAGACUCCUACGGGAGGCAGCAGUGGGGAAUCUUGCGCAAUGCGCGAAAGCGUGACGCAGCAACGCCGCGUGCGGGAAGACGGCCUUCGGGUUGUAAACCGCUUUCAGUUGGGACGAAGCUCCGCCGGUGAAUAGCCGUGCGGAGUGACGGUACCUUCAGAAGAAGCCCCGGCUAACUACGUGCCAGCAGCCGCGGUAA